AGAGUUUGAUCCUGGCUCAGGACGAACGCUGGCGGCGCGCCUAACACAUGCAAGUCGAACGGAGCUGAGAGGAGCUUGCUUUUCUUAGCUUAGUGGCGAACGGGUGAGUAACGCGUGAGUAACCUGCCCUGGAGUGGGGGACAACAGUUGGAAACGACUGCUAAUACCGCAUAAGCCCACGGUGCCGCAUGGCACUGCGGGAAAAGGAUUUAUUCGCUUCAGGAUGGACUCGCGUCCAAUUAGCUAGUUGGUGAGGUAACGGCCCACCAAGGCGACGAUUGGUAGCCGGACUGAGAGGUUGAACGGCCACAUUGGGACUGAGACAUGGUCCAAACUCCUACGGGAGGCA
rnacentral:rRNA from 1 species